GGAGAAGGCAUCAGUUCAUGCACUGCACUGGCCUGCACCACGAUUAGUAUAAGGCACAUUUCACAAAGCAGAACGCAGUCUUCAGAGAUAUCCACGUGAACGCUGUGAUACGUCUGACCUUCAGUCCGAAGAAGAAACCCAGACCAGUCUUAAAAGAAAGCACAAACCAAAUCCCCUGUAUACAUAUAGUGACUCAGAGGAUGAGCAGCCUACAAAAAAACUGUUUCCCCAGGCCCCUCGAGUGAAAAUACCAGCCCUCAUCACUCCAGUCUGCCCCCCAGCCCACUGAUAGCAACCAUCAUAAUGCCCCACCCAGCUUCCGGCACCUUUCGCCACUCCGGCACAAACCGACACAGCUUUGCGAUCUCGCCAGCAUGCAGAGUCUGAUGUCUUCCCUAUAGAUGAUUCCAGAGACUCUGUGAGGCCACUAUUACAAGGUGAGACGCUUUGCGUUGAUUGGUGCUGCUGGACCACACUGGAGGUGCGAGUCCGCCAUGUAAUGGUUUAUGCCAUUACAAAGGAGCUGGCCUCUGUACUCAACUGGGCAGGGGAAAAACACCAAGGACCAGACAAAGCAAAAAGGG
ensembl:lncRNA